GAUGAACGCUAGCGGGAGGCCUAACACAUGCAAGCCGAGCGGUAGAGUUCCUUCGGGAACUUGAGAGCGGCGUACGGGUGCGUAACACGUGUGCAACCUACCUUUAUCUGGGGGAUAGCCUUUCGAAAGGAAGAUUAAUACCCCAUAAUAUAAUGAUUGGCAUCAAUUAUUAUUGAAAACUCCGGUGGAUAGAGAUGGGCACGCGCAAGAUUAGAUAGUUGGUGAGGUAACGGCUCACCAAGUCAAUGAUCUUUAGGGGUCCUGAGAGGGAGAUCCCCCACACUGGUACUGAGACACGGACCAGACUCCUACGGGAGGCAGCAGUGAGGAAUAUUGGACAAUGGGUGAAAGCCUGAUCCAGCCAUCCCGCGUGAAGGAUGACGGUCCUAUGGAUUGUAAACUUCUUUUGUACAGGGAUAAACCUACUCUCGUGAGGGUAGCUGAAGGUACUGUACGAAUAAGCACCGGCUAACUCCGU
rnacentral:rRNA from 1 species